rnacentral:rRNA from 1 species
UACGGAGGGUGCAAGCGUUAUUCGGAAUUACUGGGCGUAAAGCGCGUGCAGGCGGGUUAGCAAGUCUGAUGUGAAAGCCCCGGGCUCAACCUGGGAAGUGCAUUGGAAACUGCUAGUCUUGAGUUCUGGAGAGGAUGGGGGAAUUCCCGGUGUAGAGGUGAAAUUCGUAGAGAUCGGGAGGAAUACCAGUGGCGAAGGCGCCCAUCUGGACAGUAACUGACGCUGAGACGCGAAAGCGUGGGGAGCAAACAGG